CCAGCAAGAUCAAAGGCGGGAUACGCAUGUAGAUCUCAGGGCGUAGGGCUUGCGGACGCGGGUUCGAUUCCCGCCGCCUCCACCA
rnacentral:tmRNA from 1 species